GAUGAACGCUGACAGAAUGCUUAACACAUGCAAGUCAACUUGAACUUCGGUUUGGGUGGCGGACGGGUGAGUAACGCGUAAAGAACUUGCCUCACAGAUAGGGACAACAUUUGGAAACGAAUGCUAAUACCUGAUAUUAUGAUUAUAUGGCAUCGUAUAAUUAUGAAAGCUAUAUGCGCUGUGAGAGAGCUUUGCGUCCCAUUAGCUAGUUGGAGAGGUAACGGCUCACCAAGGCGAUGAUGGGUAGCCGGCCUGAGAGGGUGAACGGCCACAAGGGGACUGAGACACGGCCCUUACUCCUACGGGAGGCAGCAGUGGGGAAUAUUGGACAAUGGACCAAGAGUCUGAUCCAGCAAUUCUGUGUGCACGAUGAAGUUUUUCGGAAUGUAAAGUGCUUUCAGUUGGGAAGAAAAAAAUGACGGUACCAACAGAAGAAGUGACGGCUAAAUACGUG
rnacentral:rRNA from 1 species